AGGAGCCCUUUACUCGCGGGAUUCCUGUUCAAGGCUCCCGGUACGGAGAGAGAGAGCCCGCGGGACCGCAGCUUUGGCAAGAACACACCCAUCCGUCGGUGGGAGGAUAGAGGAAGUUUGUUGCUAAAAGCUGCGAAAUUCAACCUCAGCUCCUCGAAUGAACAGAACGGGAAACCCAAGGGUCAGGAGACGGCGGGGAGCUGAGUUCAGAGCCGAAAACUUCGCGUUUCUGGAAGGCAAGACGAAAGAGGAGCCCCAACAUUGAUCCCGAGACAGUGGGCGGAGCAAUACUGAAAGAUAACCGCGGCAAAGAGAUUUAACUCACCCUUCUCCAAGAUUUGGGGCGCGGGGCCUUAUUUCCUGGUCUUUCUGCCCUGUCUCAGAAUACUGAAUAUGGUGCGUGCCCAGUUCCGUUUGUUGACUGGGUGGAUUUGCGAGUGUCCGUGGCCGUCCCCAUCAUUGAUGGGAUAAAGAACAUCAGGGGGAGUGAAGGGAAAGAAGAAGAUAGGUAAGAAGAAGAUGAGCGAAGUGGGAAGUUAGCCUUUCAAAAGACUCCUUGAUUCUUCUUUCUUCUGGGUCUUCAGUUCCUACCAGCAAAGAAUGAAUUUUCCCCUCUCAUCGUGAGGAUUAAGUUGGAAGGAAAAGGGCUGGCUGGAGGUGGGGGAGACUUUAGGAGUUAGGACACAGCAACAUAGCAUCUUCAAGCGUGAUGUUUUUAUUUACCAAGAGAAAGAAAUAAUGGUUCUUUUGAGUUCAACUGAGUAAAUAUUGUUUAGGGAAAAGAAUUUGCCAGACCUGGAAAUAUUAAGACAAGCAAAACUGGUCUCUGACUUAUGGGACGCAUGAUUACAGCAUGAAUACAUAAUUAUGGCAUGAAUAACAAUGCCUACCACCUACACAGCACCUACCAUGUGCCUUGCAUUGUGCUUAGUACUUUGCCUAGGUUAACUCUCUUCUAAUUCUCAGAACCACCUCUGAGGCAGUUAACAUUAUCCCAGUUUUAUAGGUGAGAAAAACUGAGGCACAGAGUGGCUGUGUAACUUCCCCUAGGUCACACAGGUGGUGAGUGGCAGGUCAGGGCGUGGGCUCCAGAGCCUCUGCCCUUCACCAUGCUGCUUCUGUGAGGGCUGGGCAGGAAGGAAAGCUGUACUCAAGGAGCGCUGUAACAUCUAGAGUUGUACUGAUAAUUAUUUUUAAGAUGACUAAUUCUAAGAAUUCAAACAGAGGAAGAAUUGAAUGCUGUUUUCAUAAGGCUUCCAGAAGAGAGAGAUGAAGAAAGGAACCUUGCCAAAGGUGAAGGGUCCAUACGUGUGGUACAGGCUUGCAUGCAGGGCCUGGGGCUCAAGCUGCCUGGGUUUGGAUCCAGCAAGCCUUAGGUGCCCAGCUAACUUGUUUAUGCUUCAGAUUCCUCUUUGGUAGAAGAAUAUCUGCCUCAUAGGUGGCUUAAAGUCAUAUGUCAUGAUGAGUGCAAAGUGCCUAACACUAUACGUUGUGAGGAGUCAAUAAGCAUUGACCAUCAAUUAAAUCUGAGCCUCCACGUGAGAGCGUUGGCUCGGAUCCCGGUCCCAUUGAUCACUGGGUCUUCCAGUGCCAGGCACGGAACUGUGUACUUAAUAGAUGCUCUAUAAAAUUGAUUAGAUGGAUGAGUGCAAGAUGUUGGACUUGGCGUAAGGAAAAAUUGGGAACAGAGACACUGAGUGCAUGAUGAAAUAGUAAUAAUACGUGCACGUAUUUUUGCAUGUUUUCUCAUAUUCCUUCUUGCCAUCCUCGCUUUAUGAAUAAGGAAAGUGAGGCCUAGAGAUUGAGUAAUAACUUGCUUACAUAACUAAGAAGUGUCAGGUACCCCAUUUGGACUCAGGUCAAGAGACUCUAGAGUACGCGUUCCUUAUCAGUGUGUUCCCUGCCUCAUAGCAUAGCAGGAAAGCAGGGACAAGGGAAGAGGCAGAUUCUUGGGCAAUGUAUUGCAGGUGCAAAGUGAAAUUCUUCACUUUAGGCAGAGAUAAGGAUGUGUAUGCGUGUGUGUGUGCACAUGUACGUAUAUAAUUUUAAACCUUAGAGGUGGUUAGUUAUCAUUUGAAAACCAUAAUCAGUAAUUCAAAUCCCCAACCCUGGUAGUUAGCAUUAAAAGAUUCUCAACUUUGGAGACCACUGUAUCAAGCGUCACCAUUUAAAUCUGCACCUGGAGAGUUCACUCAUUAGCUCAAGAUACUAGAGAUAAUUAUUCAUGGGGAAGCCACUUAGCAAGACAUAUUAUAUAAGCAGCUCCUGCUCUGUGUAGAGUAAGAAUGAGAACAAGGUUCUCAUACCAGUGGAGUGGGUUUUGGCUGUCUUAGUCCACUUGAGUAGCUGUAACAAAAAAGCAUGAGCUAAAUGGCUUAUAAACAACAGACUUUUUUAUUUCUCAUAGUUCUGAAGUCCAAGAUCAAGGUGCCAGCAGAUUCACUGUCAGCUCCUACUUGGUUCUUCCUUGUGCACGGGAAAGCUAGUGAGUUUUACACAUUCGUUUUGAAUCCAACCACUUCACUGAACUCUCCCCGCGGAUGAAACAGUCUACUGGUUGAAUGUCUUGGAUUGUCUAAAAAGCAGUGGUAACAACCAGCUGCUCAGUGUUCCACCUAAAAACCAUCAGGAACCUGACCAGUAUCCUAACCCUCAUUCUCCAAGCCGAGUUCUCUGACCCUUCCCAGAGGUCCGACAACUGUUUAUUUGUGCCGUGACUCUUCAAAAGCAACCCUAUGCUUGUCAGAGCUGAAUCUCAGAGCCUGAAAAUAAUGGAUGCUGAGCGGGAACAGAAUCAUCACAGGCUGCCUUCCUCAAGGAAAACCGAAGCCGCGAUGACGCCAAGGACACUCAUGGGGGCCCUCGCCACGGAAGAAAGAACAUAUUUUUGAAAGUGGGGAAUUUUAAGAACAAGUUACUGCUCUGCAGGCCCUCAUCAAACACUCCUGUCCCUCCUCCACCAGGACUGGUGAAUGAAGGAGCUACUCACCACACUAAGGAAAGCCAGACCGUUGGGAAGUAUGUCAAUAUCAUCUGCGCCAGCUUCUGUAAGUUCAAGAGAUAGAUAAAUGUCACGUUCAAAUUCUAUUAUUUGUUAGGUCUAACUGGGACUUAGUUUACUUUGUCGGUGCCUGCAUUUUUAGGAAUGGUUCUAAUUUUUUCCAAGGAACCUACCUACCACUCUCUUUAAUAUACGUCAGUCCAAAUCCCUUCCUGCAGUGAACCUCUGACUUUAAAUGUUAGAUAUUUUAUGUUUACUCAAAUCAAAGUCAAGCAAUCACUACAUUUCCAGCUAUAAUACAGGAAAAGUUGACAUCUGUACACUCUUCUGAUAAACAUCCAGAUGUCUCUACAAAAGUAAUUGACAUCAGGGGAAUAUUAACUUUCAGAGAGAAGGGCUCAUAGUCAUUUAACCAUGCAAAUAUCCUUGUCCCUUUCUCUGCUCAUUCAAUCUGAAGCAAACACAGACAUUUCUCUCAUUAACAGAGAUAAAACACCUGGGAUUAUAUAUGCCCUCUUUAAAAAACAAUGUCUGCUUGUUCUCAUAAGCAAAGAAAACCUUCCAUUUAAUCUUUAAAUUUAGGCUUUAAACUACAGAAAACAACCAGCAAAAGAAAAUUAAUGAAAAAUACCAUGCACCUAAGCCAGCUGAAUCUUCUAAUGCUUGUCUCUGAGCAGGCUACAAUUACUAUUGAUUGUUUAUUGAUUGUCUGCAGUCCACUCCACACAGCACAGCAAAUAAUUAGACACAAGACCUUCCCAGUGGUCUCACUGUGUAAAUUCCGCAGACAGAUAAUAGACCCAAACACAAGAAAAGAAGAAUAAAAAUGGCUUAGAUUAAGCCAAAUCAUGACACAUUCUUUGAGUCCACAAAAUCCAAUCUUCCCCUUUAAGGCCUCUCCAAAGACUUUCUCCAAGAUUAUUUCUAGGUUGUCAAAAACAAACAGCAUCUACGCAGCCGUUUUGGUUUUGAUUCAUGAGUUUGCAUUUGGCUGGUUGCCUCCAGUGUCACUGGCUCUAUCAUAGUGGAGAAAAGCAGAAGAAAAUACAAAUGCCAAGAACUUCGCUUUGCAAAGACAACUGCAAUCAUGAACACCUGCAAAGUCUGCUCCUUGGCAAGAAGAUAUAUACAUAUAUAUGCUUACACAUGGCCUAAUGGAGGAAUUCUUCACCUGGGCUGUGGAUUCCUAAGGAGCCACAAAUGGGUUCUAUAGUCUGUGAACUUGUUAAAAUUCUAUGCAAUGCAAAAUGUCAUCUGUAUGCUCAGCUGGGAAAUUGUCUAUGAAAAGGAUCCUUGGCUUUCAGCAGUUUUAAAAAAAGGUCAGUAAUACCUCAAAAAAAGCUAAGAAUCCCUAGUUUCUAGACCCAUGGUGGUUCUCAACUGGUGAUGCGCAGGGAUGGGGGGAAUUCAACCCCACAUGUGUAUAUAUGCAGCCACACAUACAAACACACACACACACUCAAAGGCACAGGUCAGUCUGAAGUUUUACUUUUUGGAUCCACUGAAUAGGAAGUCAAUUAAGUAAAACUGGUUGCUUCUGAAAAAUUACUUAAAACAAUUUAAUUUCAAUGUGUACGUGCUAAUACAUAAAGUACAAGAAAAGGUAUAUAGAAACAAAUUAAGAUUUUAUUUAUUUAUCUGACAGAGAUCACAAGUAGGCAGAGAGGCAGGCAGAAAGAGAGAGGGAGAAGCAGGCUCCCUGCUGAGCAGAGAGCCCAAUGCGGGGCUCAAUCCCAGGACCCUGAGAUCAUGACCUGAGCCGAAGGCAGAGGCUUUAACCCACUGAACCACCCAGGAACCCCAGAUAUAUAGAAACAAAUUAACCAGGUUUCUUUGGGUGGUAGGAUUAUGAAUGAUUUUCAUUUUCUUCUUUAUACUUUUCUUCGUUUAAAAUUUUCUACAAACAACGGUACCAUUUUAGUAAUCAAGAGAAGAACGUUUUUUAAAAGAUAUUUGCAUUUCAACCACACUGUAACUUCUUUCUGUUUAACCCCAUUGCCUAAUUCCAAGGAAAAAAAAGUCUCAUCUGCAGUUUUCUUUAGAAUAUUUUCCAGAUCUACCCCCCACCGCAUCUUCAUUUCUAUAUCCAUCACUACAAGAGAAUGUUACCAUUUCUUAUCACUGCUGCGGUGUGAUUACUGCAAGAGUAGUCAAUGCUGGAGAAAUUUUUUCUCCUCUAAUUUAAUAAUAGGAGUAGUACCAGCAGUAAUAGUAAUAGCUAUUAAGGUAUAGAGUUUACUGAGGGCCACACUCCUUGUAAACACUUUACAUACAUUAUUUCACAUAAUUUCCUAUACUCUAAGAAGCACUAUUAUCUGUUACUUCAGAGUUAAGAAUAUAGGGCCUUUGAGCGGUUAGGCAAAUUGCUUAAGGUCUGGGACUUUGAGUCCUUUUGUCCUUCUUGAGUCCCAAGAAGCUGGGACUCAAAUCCUUUUGUUCUGACUUCAAAGCAUACAGAAAAAAGACAAUGUAGCAUAGAAUGAAUUCUCCCUGUCAGAACCAUCACUGCUUCCUCUCUGAAGACACUUGACUUUGUAAAUUUGACUGUGGUCAGUUCCAUAGGUUGGCUUCCCCUGUAAAAGUUUUGCUUCCAUGCCUCCUCCCAAGACCUUCACCAAUCCAUACUCUGCACUUUUCUGUACAAGCUCAUUCAAAACCCUCUUGGUGAGAAAGUCUUCUAGCUUAACACAUCUGAAUUUUUAUUUUUUCUUAUUCCUUUGGUAAUGAUCUGUGUCUGAGAUGGCUAACUGCUCCCCACUAUCCAUACUCCCCUUUCUCCUUUCCAGCCACAGGUGCCUGGCAACACACCACAGACAUAUUCUGCACUUUCUCCCAAGAAUUGUGGCCAUUUGCCUCGGUUCAGGUUAAUGGCAUGUGAGAGCACAGUGUGCAUGUAAUUUCUGGGUAAAAUAACUAAAAAUAAUAGCCACAUCAAUGUUCUUUCUACCUUUCCUGCUGAGAACUGGCCAUAACUGGAGUUCUAGUCCUUGACCAAGAAGCAGUGUGUUGAAGACAAUGGUGUUGCUCCAUCAGCCUUUGUACCAGAUCCGCCACACCAAGGGUAGUCAUCUUAUCACCCUAGGCCAUUUGCUUAUCUUUAGACAGCCAAGUAAAGGAAGAUAAAUUUCUCUCUCCUCUAGGUGUAACUUUACAACAGCAAAUCAGCCCUUGCCAUUCCCAAUAGAGUAUCUGAGAUAUAAUGUACCUUUUACUGUCCACUCUUGGCAUACU